GACAUAAGUAAACUAGAGGCUCUAAAGAGCCUGUGUCGCUCACCUUGGUCUUGUGCAUAUUAAAUAAUGGACACGGAUAAAUUCAUGACAUAAUUGUGUUUUGGUGAUAGUGAUGUGUUUGUAGAUCUUACUUUACUGAACAUUCUUGUUGCUACAAAUAUCUCUGUCUAUAAUGAACUUGGCCCAGUAAUUACAGUGGAAAAUAUUUUCUACAAAA
rnacentral:lncRNA from 1 species